rnacentral:rRNA from 1 species
UUAAGUCCCGCAACGAGCGCAACCCCUAUUAUUAGUUGCCAUCGGUUCGGCCGGGCACUCUAAUGAUACUGGCCUCGGUUAACGGGGAGGAAGGUGGGGAUGACGUCAAGUCCUCAUGGCCUUUAUGUCCAGGGCUACACACGUGCUACAAUGGGCUGUACAAAGGGCAGCAAUCCCGCGAGGGUGAGCCAAUCCCAAAAAGCAGUCCUCAGUUCGGAUUGGAGUCUGCAACUCGACUCCAUGAAGGUGGAAUCGCUAGUAAUCGUGGAUCAGCAUGCCACGGUCGAAUACGUUCCGGCCUU